rnacentral:piRNA from 1 species
UAACCAACUAGGUUUCCUGCCUCC